AUAAUGGGUCAGCGACUUAUAUUCUGUAGCAAGGUUAACCGAAUAGGGGAGCCGAAGGGAAACCGAGUCUUAACUGGGCGUUAAGUUGCAGGGUAUAGACCCGAAACCCGGUGAUCUAGCCAUGGGCAGGUUGAAGGUUGGGUAACACUAACUGGAGGACCGAACCGACUAAUGUUGAAAAAUUAGCGGAUGACUUGUGGCUGGGGGUGAAAGGCCAAUCAAACCGGGAGAUAGCUGGUUCUCCCCGAAAGCUAUUUAGGUAGCGCCUCGUGAAUUCAUCUCCGGGGGUAGAGCACUGUUUCGGCAAGGGGGUCAUCCCGACUUACCAACCCGAUGCAAACUGCGAAUACCGGAGAAUGUUAUCACGGGAGACACACGGCGGGUGCUAACGUCCGUCGUGAAGAGGGAAACAACCCAGACCGCCAGCUAAGGUCCCAAAGUCAUGGUUAAGUGGGAAACGAUGUGGGAAGGCCCAGACAGCCAGGAUGUUGGCUUAGAAGCAGCCAUCAUUUAAAGAAAGCGUAAUAGCUCACUGGUCGAGUCGGCCUGCGCGGAAGAUGUAACGGGGCUAAACCAUGCACCGAAGCUGCGGCAGCGACACUAUGUGUUGUUGGGUAGGGGAGCGUUCUGUAAGCCUGUGAAGGUGUACUGUGAGGUAUGCUGGAGGUAUCAGAAGUGCGAAUGCUGACAUAAGUAACGAUAAAGCGGGUGAAAAGCCCGCUCGCCGGAAGACCAAGGGUUCCUGUCCAACGUUAAUCGGGGCAGGGUGAGUCGACCCCUAAGGCGAGGCCGAAAGGCGUAGUCGAUGGGAAACAGGUUAAUAUUCCUGUACUUGGUGUUACUGCGAAGGGGGGACGGAGAAGGCUAUGUUGGCCGGGCGACGGUUGUCCCGGUUUAAGCGUGUAGGCUGGUUUUCCAGGCAAAUCCGGAAAAUCAAGGCUGAGGCGUGAUGACGAGGCACUACGGUGCUGAAGCAACAAAUGCCCUGCUUCCAGGAAAAGCCUCUAAGCAUCAGGUAACAUCAAAUCGUACCCCAAACCGACACAGGUGGUCAGGUAGAGAAUACCAAGGCGCUUGAGAGAACUCGGGUGAAGGAACUAGGCAAAAUGGUGCCGUAACUUCGGGAGAAGGCACGCUGAUAUGUAGGUGAAGUCCCUCGCGGAUGGAGCUGAAAUCAGUCGAAGAUACCAGCUGGCUGCAACUGUUUAUUAAAAACACAGCACUGUGCAAACACGAAAGUGGACGUAUACGGUGUGACGCCUGCCCGGUGCCGGAAGGUUAAUUGAUGGGGUCAGCGCAAGCGAAGCUCUUGAUCGAAG
rnacentral:rRNA from 1 species